rnacentral:rRNA from 1 species
GAUGAACGCUGGCGGCGUGCCUAAUACAUGCAAGUCGAGCGAACAGACGAGGAGCUUGCUCCUCUGACGUUAGCGGCGGACGGGUGAGUAACACGUGGAUAACCUACCUAUAAGACUGGGAUAACUUCGGGAAACCGGAGCUAAUACCGGAUAAUAUAUUGAACCGCAUGGUUCAAUAGUGAAAGACGGUUUUGCUGUCACUUAUAGAUGGAUCCGCGCCGCAUUAGCUAGUUGGUAAGGUAACGGCUUACCAAGGCAACGAUGCGUAGCCGACCUGAGAGGGUGAUCGGCCACACUGGAACUGAGACACGGUCCAGACUCCUACGGGAGGCAGCAGUAGGGAAUCUUCCGCAAUGGGCGAAAGCCUGACGGAGCAACGCCGCGUGAGUGAUGAAGGUCUUCGGAUCGUAAAACUCUGUUAUUAGGGAAGAACAAAUGUGUAAGUAACUAUGCACGCCUUGACGGUACCUAAUCAGAAAGCCACGGCUAACUACGCG